AGGGGGAAAUUGACAUGGAGGCAACUCUGAUCCAGCCAUGCCGCGUGCAGGAUGACGGCCCUACGGGUUGUAAACUGCUUUUAUACGGGAAUAAACCCCUCUACGUGUAGAGGGCUGAAGGUCCGUACGAAUAAAGAUCGGCUAACUCCGUGCCAGCAGCCCGCGGUNAUACGGAGGAUCCAAGCCGUUAUCCGGAUUUAUUGGGUUUAAAGGGUCCGCAGGCNGGCUUUUAAGUCARUGGUGAAAUGCUGCGCUUAACSAUAGCACUGSCAUUGAUWCUGAAAGUCUUGAGUAUAGUUGAGGUAGGCGGAAUAGGUCAUGUAGCGGUGAAAUGCAUAGAUAUGACCUAUAACACCGAUUGCGAAGGCAGCUUACUAAGCUAUAACUGACGCUNAGGGACCAAAGCGUGGGUWGCAAACAGGAUUUGAUACCCUGGUAGUUCACGCUGUAAACGAUGAUCACUCCUGUUGGCGAUAUACAAUCAGCG
rnacentral:rRNA from 1 species